CUGAUCAAUUCGUUUGAUGAAUGACAUUCGAUCGCAAAUUUCGCUUAAUGUGGAGCCAAUCAACCAACAACAACAACCUUGAUUGUGAAGACUCUCAGAAUUGUCCAGAGUAAUUGUCAUAUAUUUGUUCCUAUUGUUUUCAUCGCUGAAAAAUCUUUAACAAAGAGCCCUAAACCUCAAGAAUGAAUUGACUUUCUUCUACAACGAGCCUUUUAAUUGUUCGUAAAAGGUUGUCUCUCAUCUAAAGCAAAAAAAAAUUUAAGUGACUGCGCAAAUUUCAACAGUACAUUGUGCUUACUUCGUUGUGGAUAAUCUCCAUCAUGUUCAAUGGAUCAUUGUUUGGUGAGGAUUUUUUACACUUUAGAAAGACCUAGUUGGCUGCUCUUUUUGACUC